AUGUUCAGACUUAAGCGAAAAUCCUCUAAGAGUGAUUCUAAAUUUGAAUUUUACAGCCCUGAAUAUUCAAAUCUUACCUAUUUAAGCAAAAUGUUAUAACCAAAAAUAUCGAAAAUACUCGAAAUAUGCUAGAAAUAACUAUGUAGAAUAAUCUGGAGCACUGAAAAUAUGUAAACAAAGUUGCCGCUUGCUGUCUGCAGACGUUGCGGUCGCUGGCCUUCGAGUAUUUUUAGGGUAAAUGCAAAGUUUUGAGCGGGUCAUACAAAAUUUGUCCACGUGAACUUUUCAUAUAAAAUAAGCAUUUGUCAUUUCCAUCAUCCAUGUCACCUUGUACGUAUCUUCAGUGCUUCAAGAGACUGUACACCACCUGUACAAUACGCAGAAAUUAGCUUGGCUCCUGCUUCCAAAGAGUUUUCUUAGAACCAGGUGCCUACUUAACUUUCUGCGUGUUAUAGAGAUAGCAAGAGACAGCACUGUAGCAAAAUAUUUUUAAAAAGUGUUCUGUGUUCUAUUUAUAAAAUAUGUUAUGUUUUUUUUUAUAAACCAAUGACAAAUAUUAAACAGCCAAAGUAUUGUGUACCUUGCAUUUUGGUUCUGUAAAUUCAGGGCUGUAAAACUAUAGUCUAUAGAUCGUAAUGUUUCAAUGUUUUUAGUUGUUUGGAAUCUAGUAGUGUUUUACUUUUUGUUUUAGAAUGAGCUAGAGUUUUGAUGUUUUCUAGUAUAAUCCCAAAUCGCGUGCUUAAAGCGAAACCUUGUUUUAAACACAAAUGAAGAUAUUUUUUGAAACGUAUAACGGGACUUCGGUCAUGUGUCGGUAGUGUUUUGUUUUCUGUAGAGUUUUAGAUGUCGGUUCUAAAGAACUGCUCGUAGCUCGUGUAUAGACACUGAUCAAAUCAUGAUAAACUACUGAGAAGUGUUAAUAACGCCCGCGGUUACAAAGAUCUUUUGAUCGUAGAUUAUCUGUUCAACAACGAUGUUGAUUGGUUGACGUUUGACUUUACCUAAUUCAACGCUUGUGAAUAGAUGACCUCCUAUUAAAAAACCUCCAGACACCGAAACAAAUUAUUUAAAUGUUUAGUUCAGAUUUUAGACCUCAAAAACUAAUGCAAUACAAUUAUCACAACUAGAUUCUGAUUGUAUAUCUCGUUUUAACAAUCUAGGAGAAAGAAAGAGAACACUGAACGAGUGUAAGUAAAUAAUAAUGAUUUUAUCAGUGUCCUUAUACAAAACGCUAUCGAAGCCUCGAAUUUCAUUGUUUAGCAGUAUUUUUACGGUAAACGGAUAUUUAAAAUAAUAUCUGACAUAAAUAUACGAACUCGACGAUUCAAGUUUCGAAUUUAGAAUAUUUUUUGGGUAUGUCAUUUAUUUUUUUAAAUGUCCGAAACACAGCAAUAACAAUGCAAUAGAAACGUAGUGCUUUUCGUUUCGUACCGCUAGUUUGAUGUUUAUUGUCUCGAUGUGCAAAUAUGCUGCGGCAUAUUGUUAUAGAUGGCGUCACUAGCGUUAGUCAACUACCCUUACUUCAAAAAUUACGUUUAAACUUUAAACCACGGUAAAGAUGAUGUAAGGGGUCAUCUACUCCUUUUUACCCUUUAAGGCAGAAGGAGAAGAUUCAUACCAACCCCUUUUCUCUAUAAGGGGAUUGUUCAUACUAACCCUUUUUUGCCUCUAAAUCUAGAAGGGGAAUGUUCAAACUAACCCCUUUUUACCCCACAAUGCAGAAUAUUCAUUCUUACCUUUUUCGGCCAGCUAGUGACACAUCUACGCUUAUUCAACCCCCUAUGUUUUGUACCGUCCAUAUGUGUUAGAUUUAGACGAUUGGUUUGCUCAUUUCCGUUAUUUUAACAAACUAAACGCACAUAUCGGUCGAAACCGAGUUUUUUUGUGAUCUUGACCACGUAAUGUUAGGGAGGGACUCCUUUGCUCUUGCGACAUAUAUCAGUAUGUGAUGUUAGGAUCGAACGAAUAGUUCGUUAGGUACCCUGUCUCGGUUUGUUCGUUUUAGUGAGUAUAUUGUUAUGUUUUAAAAAAAACAACUUUUGUUAUGUGUUGGGAAUCUCUAAUCUUUACUGUUGUCUAAAGACUGUCUUUCUAAUAUGAUUUUCAAUCUGUGCUCCCAACACAGCUGUUGAUUUUUGAAUCUGUUUAAAUAUAUACAUAGACUUAGAAUAUACUCCGUACCUACCUAUAGUGUAAUUUAGGAUAUAUAAUAUAUGACAUUAGCACGUAAGAAUUAUAUGAUGCGAUACAAGAAUUAAAAUAA